AUGGAGAUAAAUCACUCAACUAAACAGUUUUCAAAUCUCACUAGAAGCUGAUAUCAAGCAAUCCAAGACUAGCAAACAAAAUGUGAAAAAUUGGAACAAAAGAUUGUUAGUAAUUAGCAUAAAAACAUUUAGCCAUAACUAUGUAAGAUCUAGCCCUUGGUGCACAAAACUUAGCCAUAACUAUGUAAAACCUAGCCAUGGGUAAUCUAGCUUUGAAUACAUGAUUACAGAGAGAUACAGUUAGAAACAGUGGCAGCACUUUGAUCUUAAAAUUGUGGCUCUAACAAACAGAAAUGCAGGGAGGAGCAGGGUGACAGAAGGAUAAAGUUGAUGACAUGCUGCCAAUCUUACCACACAAGAUUUAAACAAGAAAGUAAAGAGGAAAUGAAAAAGUUUGUACAUGUCCACAUGAACAUUGAGCAGCCUUCCCCUUGUUGCCAUACCUUGAUUUUCUCUCCAAGCAGACAGCAGUAAAAGCCGCCAUGUAAGCCGGUAGGAAGGAUGCGGUGAGUAGAAACAUACAUCCCAAUACAGUCCUGCCAACCAAAGGGAGAACCAGUCAAUGGCAGAUCAAGUCAAUGAUAGCUCAUGUAAGAGUCAAGAGGUCAAAGGUAAGCCUAGUCUAAAUGAAGAAUUCAAAUCAUCAGCAACAGACUCUGAAAUAGGGAUAGAUGUUAAUGAAAGAGUUUAGGAUUCUGGUCUGUUGAAAGGUUUGCUUUCAAUUUGUUUUCUGGUGCUGAGAUGUUUGCUCUAAAGCUUAUUCAAUGUCUAAACACUAAGCUCUUCCAUUGGAGAUCCACUAGUGAGACAUGAAAUUUCAAGCAGAAUACAAUCAAGUCAUAGACAAAAACAAAGUGUUAAGGGGAAAUAGGGCACACACUGUAGCUUCCAUUUCUUACUCCAUUGAAUAGUUGUAGUUAUUUAAAUAGUUACUCUGGCUUUCAAUUCUUAUCACAACAAAUGCAUAAAGUGAAAUUUUAAUUUAAAAUUUCCUUUUUUGAAAAAUAUUGGAUCAAAUUGUGUCAGUAAUUUAUGACUUUUUAGGUUCAUUUUACCUUUUUAUUUCUGUUUUAUUUAAAUUCAAGUGAAAUAGAAACUACAUCAAAUGAUGAGUACACACGAUUAUAACUACAAACUGUCAACUCAAGAAUCAACAAUCAAAUAAGUGCCUGGUACCUGCUCUUGUGUUCUAGGUGAAGAGAGAGUAUACAUGCAGGUAUUGCACACAAAUACACGUUAUAAAACAGGUAAAACCCAACCAGGCGUCUGAAAGUGGUAAAAAAAAAACAUGAAAAUGUUAAAAAUGAAGGAAUCUUUGAGGUGAGCCUCUACAUUUUGAUCAGCUUUCUUCAAUCUUGUAGAUAUUCAAGACAAUAGUCAAAAAACUAAACUGACAAGCUGAAAUAUUUAGUUUCAAAAUCUGAAAAAAAAAAAAAAAAAGAUAAAUCUAAAAAUGAAUAUUUGAGAAUAACUCCACACAAGUCAAUGUCUCUAUUUAGUUCCCACAAACUAUGACUUGCUAGUAACUUUAAGACAGUUUGGCAAGAGUAAAUCUUCGAUCUAAUUGUGAAUGUCAGAUUGUGUCACUGGUAUGAAACUUGUUCACUGCAAACAUGUCAAUAUUUGCUUCCAUUUUUCAUUAGUGUCAAUAUACAAUAUUUUCUAGCUACUUGUACAGUCUGUACACUGCCCUAGUCACGAGUAAAAUCUAUACACUGCCCUAGUCACUUAUUAAGUCUCAACACUGCCAUAGUUACUUGUAAAGUCUUUACAUUGCCCUAGUCAUUUAAAGUCUUUGCUCUAGUCACUUGUAUGUGAACAGUCCUUAAGCUGCUCUAGUCACUUGUAUGUGAAUAGUCCUUAAGCUGCUCUAGUCACUUGUAUGUGAACAGCCCUUAAGCUGCCCUAGUAUUCCUGAAGAAGUGCAAAUGUUUCAUAUUUUUUAAUGCUAAUGCAAAGUCAUAUUUUACAAAAUCUUCAAAAGGAGUCAAAACAAACUGGAUAGUUUCAUGUACAAUCUGCACAAAAAGAAAUGUGUAAUCAAAUAGUUACCAGCAACAGUCACUAUUUUAGUAAAUAAUUAGUACAUCAAUUACAUUGAAAAGUUUAUUUGUUCUAAAUAAGUGGGAAAAAAUAUAUCAAUUAUACAUAUAUGAUACAAUGAAAGUUUUGAAUUACAAAAAUGUUUUAGGAAAAAAAUAGGCUCAACAACUGAUGUUUAUUGGUACUACAAGUUCUUAUUAAGUCAUUACUAAAUAUUUCAUUCUGAUGAAACCAACAAAAACCUAUUCAUGAAACUGAAGAUCUUGGGAGGAGAACAAGUGCAUCUCUCGGUGUGUUGUAGGGAAAUGGAAUGGAUGAAUAACUGAAAGGCCUACUCUACAGGCAGAAGCAUUUUUUUCCAGCAAAGUCAACAAUACAUUGAGUAGAAAAACAAAAAGAUAUGAGAAAGUGAUGCCUUGCAUAUGACCUUGAAUGAAUGGGAAUAAAAAUAGAUUACUGUAAACAAACUGAGAGUAUGUGAUUUAAAAAAAAAAAAGAAAAAAUUGACUGAAAACAAAUGAAAAAGAUACAUAAAUGCAUAGUAUACAAAUUAAAAAUUUCAUUGAAGAAGUAUUUACUACAAUUAUAACUUUUGUUGAAACUAACAUUUUAAAAAAUGUAUAACUUGGAUGAACCUGAUGUAUUGCCUAGUUCAAUAGUUGUAAGUAGCAACUAAAAAAAACAGAAUACUUAUUUCUAUUUGUUUUCUUUCUUUCUUUCUUUUUUUGUGAUGAGAUUUAUAAUGGCACUGACUCACCCUUGUAGCCAUCAAGAAGAUUGGAAAGCAGUAAACUUCAAUAACCCAUAAUGCAGAAUAUAAAAUUUGAAUAAUUUUCAUAGCCAGAAUUUGAGAUCAACUUCUUCAAACAUUGGUUUAAAUUUCUCAUUUGUGGAUAUUUCAAUAAGCUGCUCCUGUAUUAAUAUGGAUGGAUUCAACUGUAUAUGGGAUCUGAGUUUGUCAACAUGCAAAAGGGUUCAACAACCAGAGGGGAACAUCUAAGUCUUCAAAACUUUGAUUCAGAUCUGCAUGAAGAGACAUUUAUUGUUUAAAGAGAAUCUUCAUCUCUAUUUUGCAAUUUUAAAAGAUUUGGAAGCUAAGAACAUUCUCCUUUUCCUAAGUUUUAUUUGUAUGGAAAAAGUUCAGCAACAAAUACAAAUAUUAUGCUUUUAGUUUUGAUUAAAUUUUUGUAGUUUGAAUUUGGAAAAUUGACAUUUUUGGAACACAUGAAAUUGUGUAGCCUUUGCUUUCUAGGAAUUCCAACACUAAAUCAAAGAGAGCGUACAAUUGAUUUAAAACAUGCACUUUUAGAUAACCAAUGUGCUUCAGUGUAGUAGUGUGUAAAUGAUUAUAAUCUUGAUCUUCUAAACAAAGAUGAGCAAAUAAUCUCUUAUUGAAGGUAUUCCUUUUGAGUUUAUGAACUGCUCUAAUGACAUAAUCAAGUGAUCCAAGUAAAUGUUCAAUAGGGAGUUUUGCAAUGAAAUAAUGUCAAUGAAGGACACAAUGUCCUGAAUAUCUUUUAGGCACAUCUUGUUUUAAGUGUGCCAGAAAGCCUUGGUAUCUUCCUACCAUUGCCUCAGUAGAAACAGAAAUGAUAGUUCAGGGUAAGCUUUGACAACAAAAAAUCUUUUGAAUGGAUGAAAUGUUGAACCUUUCUUAUUAGAUUCAAAACAUUUAGCAAAUAAAAAUUCUGUGCAAAUUUUGUUUUACAAAUCUUACAUAAGCAAGGCUUUGUUCCUAGUCAAGUGUACUCUGAUGUUUUAAAAUACUCACAUAAACAAUGUCAAUGCACUGAGCCACUUUGUCUUUCCUUCUUUGUACAAUUUGGAAUUCUUUUCACAUUGUUGAAAACUGGCUUGUGCAACUUUAUGUGUAGUACCUCACUUAUCUUAUCUUCUUCUCUUAUAAAAUACAGACGUUAUUUCAAAAAAGAAGAUGAUUACAUCCUAUGUGUGUUUCUAGGUCAAUCUAGUCAUGCAUGUUAACCAAUGACUUAAAUUCUGCUAAGUCAUUGGUUAUCCUGGCUGGCUAAGGCAACCCAUUCCAUGGUCUAAUAACACUAAGGAAGAAGGAGCGUUUGUACACAUUUGUCUUACCUUCUUUGUACAAUUUGGAAUUCUUUUCUUUUCUAAAUUUAUUGAUUAUACUAAAGAUGUUAAUCUAGUCAAAUGUGAAUAUUCGUUUGAUAUGAAUCUCACUGCUCUUUUUUAUAUCUGUUCCAGUUUCUUAAUGUUUCUUGAGUUGAGGGGGUCCCAAACCAAAGAUGCAUAUUCUAUUAUUGGCCUAACUAAGGUUAAAAUUUUAGUUUUAUGUUCUUAUUUGAUUUGCAGAAAUUAUUUUUAAUAAAUCCAAAUGCUUUGUUUGAUUUUUUAAUAGUUUCAUCAAUGUGGGGAUUCCAUGACAGUUUUUCAUUUAUUAUAACAACUAGGUAUUUUGCUUAUUAACAGCUGGUAAAAUAAGUUCUUCCACAAUAGUGUUCAUCUUUACAUAUUUGCAAUCAAUAAAGAAAUAUAAUAAGAAGCAAGCAGUCCAUCUUCAUCUUGCUUAGAUGUUGACCUUAUGAGUUGUUGCAAUGGCUAUGAUUUCAAAUAUCUCUUUUAUCAUUACAGAUUUUUUACAAAUGUUCCUUAUGCUUAGAGAUUUCAUUGAAUCGUAUGAAACAGUUGAACCACCAACACCAGCGUCUCAUGUGAAGACUGGGAUUUUAGAGUUCAGGAUUUUUAGGACACCCCUAAGUCCACCCAACUCUAAUGGAUACCUGACAUACAUUGGGGGAGUAAAGGCUGUUGGUCAUUGUGCUGGCUACAUGACAACCUGGUUAACCACCUGCCAAAGAAACUGAUGAGAUUUACAUUAUCUAACCCCAUAGAUUGCAAGGUCUGAAAGAGUACUAAAAAAUAAAUAAUUGUACUAUGUCAAAUUAUUACUAAUUUUCCCUACCUCCAAGCACAGAACAUAAUAAUGAAUAAUGUUCCAUUAAUAGUAAGAAAAAUGGUGGAUCUCAGUGUUUCAGGAAUCAAUUUUUUCCUAUAAUAAUUUGAAUCUUUCCUACGGAGAAGAGCAGCAAU